GCUAGACGCGAGUUGCCGGAAAAGGGCCGCUUUUAUUUUAAAGUUCUUGAAGAAUUCACUUUCUUUUCUCCCAAGUUAGCUGCAGCUGAGCCAGAAGCGUCCCCACUGUCUUACCCGAUAGUGGGAUUUUACACGGUGUCGGCUAAGGGUGGCUUUGUGAGAAGACCAUUUCAGAAGAAGAAACGGGGCUCUGGCUGGUGGGGUAGAAACCCCUAUGGAAUGAAAAGUACUCCCAGUCUCUUUGAGGAAGAUUGCAAAGUAAGGCCCUUUCUGCGGAUCUUUCCCUAGAAACCCCGCUGGGCUCCGGCUCUGAACAGCACCGGAGGACUGCAACGCCCACCCAGGCCCUGCUGCGGGUCUCCCGUGGCCUCAGCUCCUGUCUGGUCACCUCCCUCGGCCUCCCGGAACGCUCACAGGAGCUCGAGCCUUUGGACGUUCUAGGGGUUCCAACUUUAUGUGGGGAUCCCCGGACCGCCAGUGCCUGCCUCCCCAUCCCCCAUCCUCAUCCCUUUGUUCGCCUCUCCGGACACUGAGUUGAAGGCAGGGAAAAAAAAUAAUUAGAUGGAAAUCAAAGAUUAGACGGGGUGCGCUGGCCGCCAGGGCGAAGCCGACCCAACACUCCGCCGGCGCCUCAUAAAUCUUUUUCGCAGGCCUGACAAAAGCCACGUCCUCCAGUUCCCUGGGAAUCUAGAAACUUAUCGAUCUCCUCGACGUCCCCCAGACACCCCUCUUUGGGAUCGAGGACGGAGAGUCCUUGGUGACCCCCCACUUAUGUACAGCCCAGGACGUCCCAGCCCAAUCCCGGAGUUAAUUAAUUUUCAGAAAUGGAAGAAGGUGUCAGAGGGAGAGAUACCGACAUGGGCCCAACCCCCUCCCAGGAAGGGCAGCAAAUAUCCACAACCCGUUUGUAAAACCAAAGAAAUGUUAGGGUGCCACGUUUCCCUUGCUCCAGCUGCCUGGAAGGAUGUUUUCUGAGAAGGGUGAGGGGCAGCUUAACCCCUCCUUGGCGACUCCUUUGUCUGCUCCAGCCAUUUCUAGAACCAGCGGGGCGCCUGGGACUGGGGCGCAGAAGCCAGGCUCCCAGGCGCCGGUCCCGCAGGUGUGACACACGCACGCUGCUGUUGUGGGUCCGAGCCACGGGUGUGUGCGGUCCACGUGCGAUCUACCCGGGAUUGCACCUGAGAGCCCUCCACCGGAACAGUUGAGAACUUGCGGAGUCGUGGUGCAUUUAGAGUUUUAAAAAACUUGAAUUAAUUGGGGGAGUAGAGUGCUUCCCGACGCGAAUGGAGGUGUCUUAAAAAUUAUAUCCCAUUGUUGAACCAGUUGUUUCCGACCUUAGGUAUUAAAGAAAUGUUGCCACAUUUAAUUUUGGUUGCCUUGAGAUAGAGAGGGGAGCCCAACAUUUUGCAGUAAUUUGAUAAGCCUUCAAGUAGCAAAUCCGAAAGGGAGGCUGGCGGCCCAGGUAUAGUUUCUUUAUAACCUGAAUUUACAAUGAAAGCAUUCUCCUUUAUGGAUAUAAUAGAUUAGAUUUCACAACUUAAUUCUCUGCAAUGGCUCCGUUUAAGGGAGCUCCGGCUGAUUUUAUUACGCCAAGCCAAAUUGGAUGCUUGUGGUCUUAACGAAAAAUGAUUGUGACAUAAAAUAUAUAAUUUUAAAGUAAAAAACCAACGGGUUCGACCCUGUUCCCUCCCCCUUCCCCCUUUCUCCUAACCCCUGCUCCUUAUUCCCCAGUUUGGGAAAUAGGGGAAUCAUGGCUGUUGGUUGGUUUCUGCCUGGAAGUUUAGGCGACCUGGGCGGUGGAUUGGCGGCCUGGAGGGCCAGGCCAGACCCUCCCAUCUGGUAGUCGAGAAUAUGAACACUCCCAACACAGUUCAGGGAAUCUCCGGGUACUCUUGCCCACGCUGGUGACUUAAAAGCCUCCCCAGGCUGGCUUGGAGCGCCAAGGAAGCAUGCUCUGAGCCGCGGCGCGCGCUGUCUCAGGGAGUCUUCUUUCCAGUCUGCGUGGAGUGAAGCGUCUGUCCUCUCCUCCCAAGGCCACCACCAAGGCUCUGUAGGCGGCGGUGCCCAGAGCUGGCCCCGGACGACUCCAUGUGCCGCACCCGAGCUGUAUUCAGCAAGUGUGGUCGGUGGGGACUGGGCGGCGGCGCGAGCAGCUCUCCAGCCCAGCCAUCCCGCCCCUGAGCGCCAGGAGCCAGCCCUACAAGCCGCAGCCGACAAGGACAAGGGUCUUUGGGCUCCAGCCGACCUGGCCUGCCAGCGCCUGCGGCCCACUCUGCCGUCACUUCUCAUUAAGGUCGGGCUAUGUUCUCCUGACAGCGCCCCUCAUUUCAGAGUGCUUUGUUGGAGACUGAUUUAGCCCCCCAGAAGCUCGGGGCAGCCAGCAGCCCGAGUGAGGUCCGCUGAUGGCCCCAGGCGACUGCGGGCCGCCCCAGACUCCCUGCUGAGACCUCUAGAGCUAGGUCUGGUUUGCUGGACUCUCAGUGGAUGCAGAGGCAGCCUGGGUGCCUCCCGGUUCCCACAGGCCUCGACCCCCGCGCUCCAAGGACGCGUGCGUGCUGGUGCGUGGCCCACAGGCUGCGGGGGCAUACCUUAAAUUAAAUCUUUGCAGCGC
ensembl:processed_transcript Reno1 RIKEN cDNA 2810410L24 gene